rnacentral:rRNA from 1 species
UACGUAGGGCGCAAGCGUUGUCCGGAAUUAUUGGGCGUAAAGAGCUCGUAGGUGGUUUGUCGCGUCUGUCGUGAAAGCCCAUGGCUUAACUGUGGGUCUGCGGUGGAUACGGGCAGGCUGGAGGCAGGUAGGGGAGAACGGAAUUCCCGGUGUGAGCGGUGAAAUGCGCAGAUAUCGGGAGGAACACCGGUGGCGAAGGCGGUUCUCUGGGCCUGUACUGACGCUGAGGAGCGAAAGUGUGGGGAGCGAACAGG